CUUAGAAAUGGUUAUGAAAGAAAACAAUAAG
rnacentral:piRNA from 1 species